AACCCCCUGUGCUUGCACACUGUGUUUUCUUGAGUCGCGAACGGGUGAGUAACGCGUAGGCAACCUGCCUAUUAGCGGGGGAUAACUAUUGGAAACGAUAGCUAAUACCGCAUAAUAUUAAUUAUUGCAUGAUAAUUGAUUGAAAGAUGCAAGCGCAUCACUAGUAGAUGGACCUGCGUUGUAUUAGCUAGUUGGUAAGGUAAGAGCUUACCAAGGCGACGAUACAUAGCCGACCUGAGAGGGUGAUCGGCCACACUGGGACUGAGACACGGCCCAGACUCCUACGGGAGGCAGCAGUAGGGAAUCUUCGGCAAUGGACGAAAGUCUGACCGAGCAACGCCGCGUGAGUGAAGAAGGUUUUCGGAUCGUAAAGCUCUGUUGUAAGUCAAGAACGUGUGUGAGAGUGGAAGGU
rnacentral:rRNA from 1 species